AUGAAAAGGUCUGAUGUUUUUUGCAGUUGUGGCAGUCUCGCUAAUCUUGCUCUCAAGUUGGUUGAAACUAAGGAACAUUUACACUUUUCUUUGGUUUACCGACUCAUCACACUUGCUUUGACUUUGCCAGUAGCGAUGGCAUCUGUUGAAAGAGUUUUCUGAGACAUUAAUAUCAUUAAGACAGAUUUGAGAAAUAAGAUAUCUGAUGAUUGGUUGAAUGAUAUGAUGAUAUGCUAUCUAGAGCGAGGUAUAUUUGCUGGAAUUGAUGACAAGAAGAUCAUAGAACAUUUUCACAGCUUGAGAGACCGUAGAGGCCAUCUACCAAACCCUUCCCGUAUACUUACGACUUAG
rnacentral:rRNA from 1 species